UCAGAUCAAUUACUCUUUUGUUAAAUUGUUUUCCCCUUUCUUUCUUUAUUUUUAGUUAGGGUUCAUCUUUGUCUUCUCGACUGUUUAUCGAUUCUCUACAUGAUAUCAGAGCAUGUUUCCAGUCGGUGGUUGGAGUUUCGAUGAGCGGUUGAAGGAAGGUUUGCUUCAUCAGUUCUGAUUUGUGAUAUUUCCUUUGUUUUUUGCCUCGCGAGGUUGUGUUCUCCUCUAGCAAGCUGUUAUCGCGGUGAAGGAUCCUAAGUCGAGAAAGGUUCUUCUUGAAGGUCGUGAAAGUGGUGGCUGGUACAAGUUCUUGUUGUCUCAGAAUAAAUCUAAUGUUUUCAAGCCUUCUCAAGGCUUUAGUUUUAAUAAUAAUUCAUGUACUUCUGCUGAUUGUUCUAUUGGUUCCAAUGAUUUAUUUUUUUUGCUGUCAAACAUGGUUCCUUAGAAUUGUGGCAUAAAAAAAUGGGGCAUCCUAGUAAGAAUGUUUUGCUCCAAGCCCUAAGAAAUUGUAAUAUCCCUUUUGAUGAUGAUAAUAAUAAAGAUCAUGUUUGUAUUGCUGG